CUCUUCCCGCCGCUUCAUGAAAGCGGGAACCAGAGCAGGCGAUAAGGAAGCAACCCCAUAGCUACUGCAACUCGAAGCCUGCUUGCGGGCAUCAUUUUUGCAAGCGCUCUCUCACCCCUGGCAAUUCUUCCAUGGGGCAACAAAUGACGUUUCGGCAGCAGGCAGCAAUUCCGGACGUCGGGCAAGUGGCCGAGAGGGGGACGGAGCCACUCAAAGCGGUGGGAAGCGCGCUUCAGGCUACCCUUUUUAUGCGGAUCGAGGAAGGAGGCGGCAAGCGUGCCUGCGAGGAAAUCGCAAUGUGAAAACGUCAGGGAGGAGUCAGUCUUUGCGUUCGGGUGACUGAGGUUGAGGCUUCGCUUCUUAAACGAAGAGAAGUGGGCAGCGGAGCGGGAGUGGCGGCCCAAGUCGCCGGUCGGGUCUUCUCUCUUCCGGACGGAGGAUGGGAGACAAAAGACGAGUUGCUUGCUUUACCGAGCCGAGGAGCAACCGGCUGACUUGUCUGGAACGAGGGGAAGGAAAGGAUCUGCCUAGUAAAGGCUAUGCAGUGGAAGGGACUGUGUAUUGACUGGCCGACAUCCUUUGCUUUGAAUGAAAUAUGUUUUGUCCGUCUGAGAUGCCUUAGAUGAUGCCCAGUAAUACUGCAAUGGCAAUUGGGGCUCUUUCUAGUUCCCUUCUUGUGACAUGCUGCCUGAUGGUUGCUCUGUGUAAUUCUACUACACCAUUGCAAAAACUAUCCAAGGCUCAAGACAAGCAGGAGAUAAAAACAAGUGAGGAAAAAAUAUAUCAAUCAUCAGUCCAAGAAAGACAGAAUCAUGGACCAGGAAAAAUGAAUGAAAUGACUAUGAAUGGAAGAGAAGAAGGCACGAGGGACUGGAAAAACAAAGGCAACAGAAAUUACUCUAAUAAAGAAUCUUGGACAAAGCAAAAACAGGUUUUGAGUAUUCAGGCAACAAGUAAUAAUAAGUUUGGGAACCUUGAAGCUCAUAACCAGAUCAAAGAUAUUGAAGAGGAACUUCCUGUUGCUGAAGAUUUCUCAGUCUUAGAUAUUAUUGCUGGUACCACAUCUGAACCCCCAGAGGAAUAUGUUUAUCCAGACUACCGUGGAAAAGGCUGUGUGGAUGAGAGUGGCUUUGUUUAUGCAAUUGGGGAGAAGUUUACUCCAGGACCCUCUGCAUGCCCUUGUCUUUGUACUGAAGAAGGCCCACUGUGCAUUCAGCCAGAAUGUCCUAGACUCCAUCCUCGCUGUAUUCAUGUUGACACUACUCAAUGCUGUCCACAGUGCAAAGAACGUAAAAAUUAUUGUGAUUUCCGUGGGAAAAUCUACCAGACACUAGAAGAAUUUAUGUACAGGACAGAGAACAGUGGUCAAGUUACAGGAAGGCAGAUUCCAGUUGAGAUCAAUUUGACAAUGGAACUGCUGGGGGAUAUGGUGAGCUCCAUUUCACUGGAUAUGUUCAAGUGGAGGUUGGAAAGCCAUUUACUCAGGAUUUUCUAAAUUGGAUUCGUACACCAAGAAGGAGGUUUCAUCUUGUGAGAAAUGCCGAUGUGAGGCCAAUGGUGAAGUAGUGUGCACUGUGUCUGCUUGUCCUCAGACUGAUUGUGUGGACCCUGUAUACGAACCAGAUCAGUGUUGCCCCAUCUGCAAAAAUGAAGCAGAGAACAUUGCUGACAUUGCAGCUGCUAUUUCCUGUCCCCAUUCUUCAUUUAUCUCCUGGAGCAUUUCAGCUGUCGUAUCGUUUCUGUCAAUUUGUCACAAUGCUGACCAAAGGCAAAGGCAAGCCUGUCUCUUUUUUCCUUUUCUUUUAUGCCUAGAAUCUUUAGUCCCCUCUGGUAUCCAAUUUCUGGAAUCAUAAAAUCUUGAUUUUCUCUUACAACUUAUCUAGGGUAGACAAGCAAUUUAGUUCCCACGGAGGAGCUAUUUAUUAUUUCUAAAGUCUUAUGGCAAAAUUCUUAAUAUUCCAAAUUUGUACAGUCCCUUAAUUUGUUAAUAAUUUUCUUGAAUUAAAAAUUUAGAUUUUGUCAUUUAUUUUAGUCUUUCCAUUCUUAAACUUAUCAUUAAAUUUUUCUUUGUUCUAGAAUGAAGUUAAAGUCACUAGAUGCACUUUGAUUUGUAAACUUGUAUUUUUGAGCAUGUCUAUUAGCUUUGAGAUAGUUAGAUAAUUUCUGAAAGUUAUUAGAAAGUGAAGUUUGCAAAACCAAUAUCCUUGAAUAGACCGUGCCACAGAUAAGUAUAUGGAUGGUUUCACUUGUCUCUCAGAACCAGAGGAAAUCAUUAUCCUGCAGUUUCUUUGGAAGGAGCAAUCAGCAACAAGUAGACAAUCAUCCAUUUUCUUCUUAUCAGGAGAUACUCCAUGGGAAUGAUCUCCUUGCUGGCCCUUUAAUGAUACCCACAUCAUCAUCUCCACUUAUUCAGAGAUGUGCUAGCUUGUCAUUCUCAUUAAAGAGUAAAUAUAUAACUUAAUCUUCUUUCACAUGAUAUCCUUUCAAAUUUUUGAGAAGUACUAAAAUAUCCACCCUAUCUUCUUUUCUCAAGACCAAAAAAUCUAUAUUUA